rnacentral:rRNA from 1 species
CUGAAGCUCCAGCUUGCUGGGGUGGAUGAGUGGCGAACGGGUGAGUAACACGUGAGUAACCUUCCCUUGACUCUGGGAUAAGCCCGGGAAACUGGGUCUAAUACCGGAUAUGACUUCUCAUCNCAUGGGGGGGGGNGGAAAGAUUUAUCGGUCUUGGAUGGACUCGCGGCCUAUCAGCUUGUUGGUGAGGUAAUGGCUCACCAAGGCGACGACGGGUAGCCGGCCUGAAAGGGUGACCGGCCACNCUGGGACUGANACACGGCCCAAACUCCUACGGGAGGCAGCAGGGGGGAAUAUUGCACAAUGGGCGCAAGCCUGAUGCAGCGACGCCGCGUGAGGGAUGACGGCCUUCGGGUUGUAAACCUCUUUCAGUAGGGAAAAAGCGAAAGUGACGGUACCUGCAAAAAAAGCGCCGGCUAACUACGUGCCAGCAGCCGCGGUAAUACGUAGGGCGCGAGCGUUAUCCGGAAUUAUUGGGCGUAAAGAGCUCGUAGGCGGUUUGUCGCGUCUGCCGUGAAAGUCCGGGGCUUAACCCCGGAUCUGCGGUGGGUACGGGCAGACUANAGUGCAGUAGGGGAGACCGGAAUUCCUGGUGUAGCGGUGAAAUGCGCANAUAUCAGGAGGAACACCGAUGGCGAAGGCAGGUCUCUGGGUUGUUACUGACGCUGAGGAGCGAAAGCAUGGG